rnacentral:misc_RNA from 1 species
GAUGAAGAACGCAGCGAAGUGCGAUAAGUAAUGUGAAUUGCAGAAUUCCGUGAAUCAUCGAAUCUUUGAACGCAAAUUGCACUCUUUGGUAUUCCGAAGAGUAUGCCUGUUUGAGGGUCAGUUAAAUAAAAAUCGGUGUUGUUGCUGCUUUUUUGUAGUGACGCUUCGGAUCUGGGUCGUCUUUCCUUCGGUUAAGUGACCUAAAAUUUAGCAUGAUUUUUCGAACGUAUUUAAAUUAUUUACUUACGUUUGUGAUAUCGAAUAUAUUGGAUGUGGUCAUUCUCAUGAUUCGCGUGUAUAAUUUUUUGUAAAAUGACCUCAAAUCAGGUAAGAGUACCCGCUGAACUUAAGCAUAUCAAUAAGCGGAGGA